UCCACGCUGUAAACGAUGUGCACUAGGUGUUGGGGAUAGGAUCCUCAGUACCGUAGCUAACGCGUUAAGUGCACCGCCUGGGGAGUAUGCCCGCAAGGGUGAAACUCAAAGGAAUUGACGGGGGCCCGCACAAGCGGUGGAGCAUGUGGUUUAAUUCGAUACGCGAGGAACCUUACCAGGGCUUGACAUAAUAAUGACGACAUUGGAGACAAUGUUUUCCCUUCGGGGACAUU
rnacentral:rRNA from 1 species